AGCGAACGCUGGCGGCAGGCCUAACACAUGCAAGUCGAACGAACCUUUCGGGGUUAGUGGCGGACGGGUGAGUACCACGUGGGAACGUGCCUUUAGGUUCGGAAUAACUCAGGGAAACUUGUGCUAAUACCGAAUGUGCCCUUCGGGGGAAAGAUUAAUCGCCUUUAGAGCGGCCCGCGUCUGAUUAGCUAGUUGGUUGAGGUAAUGGCUCACCAAGGCGACGAUCAGUAGCUGGUCUGAGAGGAUGAUCAGCCACAUUGGGACUGAGACACGGCCCAAACUCCUACGGGAGGCAGCAGUGGGGAAUCUUGCGCAAUGGGCGAAAGCCUGACGCAGCCAUGCCGCGUGAAUGAUGAAGGUCUUAGGAUUGUAAAAUUCUUUCACCGGGGACGAUAAUGACGGUACCCGGAGAAGAAGCCCCGGCUAACUUCGUG
rnacentral:rRNA from 1 species